rnacentral:rRNA from 1 species
UAAGGAAUAUUGGUCAAUGGACGCAAGUCUGAACCAGCCAUGCCGCGUGGAGGAUGAAGGUCCUCUGGAUUGUAAACUUCUUUUAUCUGGGACGAAACACUUCUUUUCUAAGAGGCCUGACGGUACCAGAUGAAUAAGCACCGGCUAACUCCGUGCCAGCAGCCGCGGUAAUACGGAGGGUGCAAGCGUUAUCCGGAUUCACUGGGUUUAAAGGGUGCGUAGGUGGGUAUGUAAGUCAGUGGUGAAAUCCCCGAGCUUAACUUGGGAACUGCCAUUGAUACUAUAGGUCUUGAAUUAUCUGGAGGUAAGCGGAAUAUGUCAUGUAGCGGUGAAAUGCUUAGAUAUGACAUAGAACACCAAUUGCGAAGGCAGCUUACUACAUAUAAAUUGACGCUGAGGCACGAAAGCGUGGGAUCAAACG